GCCUGGGUGGCUCAGUAGGUUAAGCUUUCGACUUCAGCUCGGGUUAUGAUCUUAUGGUUUGUGGGUUCGAGACCCACAUCAGGCU
rnacentral:tRNA from 1 species